CUCUCUCUCACCACUCAUUUUCCAAAAAGCAGCUGGUCUGCUACCUGCGUUGGGAGAUACUGACUAUACUAAUCCUCAUGUCAUAGCUCGGGGAGCUGACGUCCUCAGAGGUGAAAGGAUUUGGUUAAGGUCAAGGAACGAGUGUUUGUGCAGAGUCCUCCAUUUCCAAAACCAAACCCAGUGGUUCACCCGGGCCUCUCCAGACACAGAUGUCGCGACGCUGGGCCUCCAGCCAGACCUGUAACUUCAGCCUGGAGUUGAGCAGAAACAUGGCUUCCUUGUCUUCAAGUCAUUCUUGGGCUUCAGAGCGAAGAUGCUGGACCUUUGAACCAACAAGCAGGUUACUGGUACCUUUGCCCUGAGAAUACGCUGGUGGUGCUUGUGGCUGCAGUGUUUACCCCGAGAUAACUUUGCCAUGAAGUAUCUUCCUUUUAUUAUUUUUUCAUCGCUCUAGUAUAUCGACUUUGGAAACAAAAGACAUCACUCUAUUUAGAGCAUUCCUUUCUUAGUAGUGGUAUUUCCAUUGACAAAAAAAUAGUAAUUCUGAAUUGCCGAAAAUGUCAAAUCGUAGAAAAUGUUGUUAGCCGAAGAUUCAUCUGAUGAAUCAGAUUUUUCCAAAAUAGAUGAUUCUGAUGUUAGUUCUGUUUAGAAAUAACUCCAAGUACAGUUUUUAUAUAUUAUUUUCACAUUGAAAAUCAGUCAGAUUUACUUCAGCCUCAAAGAGUGUGUUUAUGUAAAAAUAAAUGAGCACUGGCAACCUC